GAUGAACGCUGGCGGCGUGCCUAAUACAUGCAAGUCGAGCGAACAGAUAAGGAGCUUGCUCCUUUGACGUUAGCGGCGGACGGGUGAGUAACACGUGGAUAACCUACCUAUAAGACUGUGAUAACUUCGGGAAACCGGAGCUAAUACCGGAUAACAUAUUGAACCGCAUGGUUCAAUAGUGAAAGGCGGCUUUGCUGUCACUUAUAGAUGGAUCCGCGCCGUAUUAGCUAGUUGGUAAGGUAACGGCUUAACAAGGAAACGAUACGUAGCCGACCUGAGAGGGUGAUCGGACACACUGGAACUGAGACACGGUCCAGACUCCUACGGGAGGCAGCAGUAGGGAAUCUUCCGCAAUGGGCGAAAGCCUGACGGAGCAACGCCGCGUGAGUGAUGAAGGUCUUCGGAUCGUAAAACUCUGUUAUCAGGGAAGAACAAAUGUGUAAGUAACUGUGCACAUCUUGACGGUACCUGAUCAGAAAGCCACGGCUAACUACGUGCCAGCCGCCGCGGUAA
rnacentral:rRNA from 1 species